AGGAGUGUUCUCUGCUGCUCUACUGGGUCCUGUCUGCCUUGAAAAGAUCCAGCUGCUGAACUGGUAAGGAAAAACUGCCUUGGAAGAUUCAUCAUUAGAAUUUGAGAUGGUCUAUUCCAACCCCUGGAGCAUUGUCUGGAUGGGAAUGGUGGUGUCUCUGCUGUGUCUCCUUUGUGGUUCCUGCUGUCAACAUACAUCCAAUUCUGCUGUGUGUUUUCAGCUCCAGGCUAAGGUCACACCACCUCCUCCGGCUGUCCCUCCAUUCUUCACCUUCCCCUGCUCUGCCCUGUAUUGCAAGUGGGUUGAUCCCUGUAGGCUGUUUCACAGGCUCUCAUAUUAGUUGACUCUGGUUUCCCCAAUGAGAGAGACAUCAGAGUAAUAUUCCAGUGCAGGAAUGAGGGAAAGAAGAGGGCAUUUUUUCCUUUCCUCUGGUUUGGACAGCAUGUUUCUAGCUCCCAUGGACAAGCCUAUGAUUCCACUUUUCAUCAGAUGACCCCUGUCCCUGCACUCUGGAAAUACCUCCUCCCUUACCCCUUCAGCCUAAGGGUGAUGAUGUUGGCUUCCUCCUGUUGCUAAUCUCUGGGUUACCUGCUCAUCCUGUUUGGAUCCU